UACGUGAGGCAGCAAGCGUUGUUCGGAGUUACUGGGCGUAAAGGGUGCGUAGGCGGUCCUAUAAGUAUGGUGUGAAAAUCUCCCGGCUUAACUGGGAGGGUGCGCCUAUAGACUGUGGGACUAGAGUGUGGGAGAGGAAAGUGGAAUUCCUGGUGUAGCGGUGAAAUGCGUAGAUAUCAGGAGGAACACCGGUGGUGUAAACGGCUUUUCUGGGACCAAUAACUGACGCUGAGGGCACGAAAAGCGUGGGGAGCAAA
rnacentral:rRNA from 1 species